GACGAACGCUGGCGGCGUGCUUAACACAUGCAAGUCGAACGGAAAGGCCCUGCUUUUGUGGGGUGCUCGAGUGGCGAACGGGUGAGUAACACGUGAGUAACCUGCCCUUGACUUUGGGAUAACUUCAGGAAACUGGGGCUAAUACCGGAUAGGAGCUCCUGCUGCAUGGCGGUGGUUGGAAAGUUUCGGCGGUUGGGGAUGGACUCGCGGCUUAUCAGCUUGUUGGUGGGGUAGUGGCUUACCAAGGCUUUGACGGGUAGCCGGCCUGAGAGGGUGACCGGCCACAUUGGGACUGAGAUACGGACCAGACUCCUACGGGAGGCAGCAGUGGGGAAUAUUGCACAAUGGGCGGAAGCCUGAUGCAGCAACGCCGCGUGCGGGAUGACGGCCUUCGGGUUGUAAACCGCUUUCGCCUGUGACGAAGCGUGAGUGACGGUAAUGGGUAAAGAAGCACCGGCUAACUACGUG
rnacentral:rRNA from 1 species